GAGCUUCAGGCCUAACACAUGCAAGUCGAGCGAGGAAGUCUCCUUCGGGAGGCGAGUAAAGCGGCGGACGGGUGAGUAACACGUGGGUGACCUGUCCUGGAGUGGGGAAUAACCUGGGGAAACUCGGGCUAAUACCGCAUACGCUCCCAUGGUUGCGACCAUGGGAGGAAAGUUGGCCUCUACACGUAAGCUGACGCUCCUGGAGGGACCCGCGCCUGAUUAGCUAGUUGGUGGGGUAAAGGCCUACCAAGGCGACGAUCAGUAGCCGGCCUGAGAGGGCGAUCGGCCACACUGGGACUGAGACACGGCCCAGACUCCUACGGGAGGCAGCAGUGGGGAAUAUUGGACAAUGGGGGCAACCCUGAUCCAGCAACGCCGCGUGGGGGAUGAAGGCCUUCGGGUCGUAAACUCCUGUCAGUAGGGACGAAAAGCCCUUGGUCAAUAGCCUUGGGUCAUGACGGUACCUGCAGAGGAAGCCCCGGCUAACUCCGUGCCAGCAGCCGCGGUAAUACGGGGGGGGCAAGCGUUAUUCGGAAUUACUGGGCGUAAAGAGCGCGUAGGUGGCUAAGUAAGUCAAAGGUGAAAUCCCUCGGCUCAACC
rnacentral:rRNA from 1 species